UGAGUGCGAGCUGCUACGGCAGCGAAGUGGGUGACGUCAAGCUUCCAAGAAAAGCCCUAGACCCGUUAAGGCAUGAUUGCCUGUACCCGAAACCGACACAGGUGGGGUGGUAGAGAAUACCGAGGGGCGCGAGGUAACUCUCUCUAAGGAACUCGGCAAAAUGGCCCCGUAACUUCGGGAGAAGGGGUGCCAGCGAGAGCUGGUCGCAGUGAAGAGGCCCAGGCGACUGUUUACCAAAAACACAGGUCUCCGCUAAGUCGCAAGACGAUGUAUGGGGGCUGACGCCUGCCCAGUGCCGGAAGGUUAAGGAAGCUGGUCAGCGCAAGCGAAGCUGGCGACUGAAGCCCCGGUGAACGGCGGCCGUAACUAUAACGGUCCUAAGGUAGCGAAAUUCCUUGUCGGGUAAGUUCCGACCCGCACGAAAGGCGUAACGAUCUGGGCGCUGUCUCGGAGAGAGGCUCGGCGAAAUAGAAUUGUCUGUGAAGAUGCGGACUACGUGCACCCGGACAGAAAGACCCUAUGAAGCUUUACUGUAGCUUGGUAUUGUGCUCGGGCUCGGAAUGCGCAGGAUAGGUGGGAGGCAUUGAUCCAUUGCUUGCGGGUGAUGGUGAGCCACUGGUGAGAUACCACUCUUUUCGAGCUUAAGUUCUAACGGCCACCCGUUAUCCGGGGGCCGGACAGUAUCAGGUGGGCAGUUUGACUGGGGCGGUCGCCUCCUAAAAGGUAACGGAGGCGCGCAAAGGUCUGCUCAGGCUGGUUGGAAAUCAGCCGACGAGUGUAAAAGCAGAAGCAGGCUUGACUGUGAGACCUACAAGUCGAACAGGGAGGAAACUCGGCUUUAGUGAUCCGACGGUUCUGCGUGGAAGGGCCGUCGCUCAACGGAUAAAAGUUACUCUAGGAUAACAGGCUGAUCUCCCCCAAGAGUUCACAUCGACGGGGAGGUUUGGCACCUCGAUGUCGGCUCAUCGCAACCUGGGGCUGAAGUCGGUCCCAAGGGUUGGGCUGUUCGCCCAUUAAAGCGGUACGCGAGCUGGGUUCAGAACGUCGUGAGACAGUUCGGUCCAUAUCCGGUGCACGCGCAGGAAUAUUGAGAGGAUUUCUCCCUAGUACGAGAGGACCGGGAGGAACGCACCUCUGGUGUGCCAGUUAUCGUGCCAACGGUAAACGCUGGGUAGCCAUGUGCGGAGAGGAUAACCGCUGAAAGCAUCUAAGUGGGAAGCCCACCUCAAGAUGAGUAUUCCCAUGGCGUUAAGCCAGUAAGGUCACGGGAAGAACACCCGUCGAUAGGCUCUAUGUGGAAGCGCAGUAAUGCGUGAAGCAGAGGAGUACUAAUAGACCGAGGGCUUGACC
rnacentral:rRNA from 1 species